GUGCCAGCAGCCGCGGUAAUACGGAGGGUGCAAGCGUUAUCCGGAUUCACUGGGUUUAAAGGGAGCGUAGGUGGGUCUGUAAGUCCGUGGUGAAAUCUCCGAGCUUAACUUGGAAACUGCCAUGGAUACUAUAGGUCUUGAAUAUUGUGGAGGUCAGCGGAAUAUGUCAUGUAGCGGUGAAAUGCUUAGAGAUGACAUAGAACACCAAUUGCGAAGGCAGCUGGCUACGCAUAUAUUGACACUGAGGCUCGAAAGCGUGGGGAUCAAACAGGAUUAGAAACCCGCGUAGUCC
rnacentral:rRNA from 1 species